GGGAGGAGAGAGGAGAGGAGAGGACGGGAGCACCGGGGGUUUUUAACGGCUACCGGUUUUCAUUUUAAUGUGUUUUGUCUCUACUCAGGAUGUGAGUUUAAACGUGAGUUUUUAUUUUAUUUUUUAUUGACGCCAUGGACGGCAGAACCGGAGCGACAGACCCAAACUGCCACAGUGACGUUAACUCCCGUGAAAACGUUCUUCGUAAAACGUUAAAUACUUCAGCGGGGAGCUUAAGUGAGUCUGUUCCUAAUGAGUGAAUAUAGUGACAUUAUCUUUCUUUCUUAACUGUUUUAUCUCCUUUAAGCUUUUUAAAUUAACGUUACAAGAACUACAAGUCUCAACCAGACCUUAGCUGACGUUAACGGUCGAGUGGCGGUUAAGAUAUGUCACGUUUAACGGUAACGUUAGCCACCUGCCUGUCCGUUAAUGGAAGCAGACGAAACACACGCUUCUGAUACCUGAGAGGAGUGCUGUGGACUGUUUCUACUGGACUCUACUGUCUGCCUGUUAAAGUCUAUGGAUUUCCUCCAGCUUCACUGUGAAUAAAUCUACAAUAACAACAUGUAUGCUGCACGGAAAAGAAGAAAACCGGCUCAGAAGGGAGUCAAACCGACUGUCCCAACUGAAGGUGCCAAGUCCAACCCAUCCAAACGCCACCGUGACCGUCUGAACUCGGAGCUGGACCGGCUCGCCAGCCUGCUGCCCUUCCCUGAAGACGUCGUCUCCAGCCUGGACAAACUGUCCAUCCUAAGGCUCAGCGUCAGCUUCCUGCGUACCAAGAGCUUCUUCUCCGUGGCGUUGAAGAACCCGCUGUCCAAUGGCAUGAAGAAGAGCAGCGAUCACUGUCAUGACAGCAAGACGUCAGGAUCUGUGGAUGGUCACAUACCUGAGGGGGAGCUGCUGCUGCAGGCCCUGAACGGCUUCAUCCUGGUGGUCACAGCUGAGGGAAUAGUCUUCUUCUGCUCUCACACCAUCCAGGAUUAUCUCGGCUUCCAUCAGACCGACGUGAUGCACCACAGUGUGUUUGAGCUGAUCCACACUGAAGACCAGCAGGAGUUCAGGAGCAACCUGCACUGGGCCCUCAACCCUCCUGCUGGUCUCGGACCCCCGACGGAUCCCUCAACAGACGGGGAGUCUGUGUCGUCGACCUCCUCCCGCCUGGUGAGCUACAACCCCGACCAGCUUCCACCUGAAAACUCCUCCUUCCUGGAGCGAGGCUUCGUCUGCCGCUUCCGCUGUUUGUUGGACAAUUCUUCCGGCUUCCUGGCGUUGAAUAUCCAGGGUCGACUCAAGUUCCUCCACGGGCAGAGCCGUCAUCAGUACGACAGCGAGGGGAGCACGCCGCCUCAGCUCGCCCUGUUCGCCAUCGCCACACCCCUCCAGCCUCCAGCCAUCCUUGAAAUCAGGACGAGGAACAUGAUUUUCAGGACCAAACACAAGCUUGACUUCACACCCAUGGCCUGUGACGCAAAGGGUAAAAUUGUUCUGGGCUACACCGAGGCAGAGCUGAGAGUUCGAGGUUCGGGUUACCAGUUCAUUCACGCUGCCGACAUGCUGCACUGCGCCGAAAAUCAUGUCCGAAUGAUGAAGACGGGCGAGAGCGGCCUCACCGUCUUCAGGCUGCUCACCAAGGAAAACAGGUGGAAGUGGGUCCAGGCUAACGCCAGGCUCGUCUACAAGAACGGAAAGCCGGACUACAUCAUCGCCACCCAGAGGCCGUUGGUGGAUGAGGAAGGAGGGGAACACCUGAGGAAGCGAUCAAUGCACCUUCCCUUCACCUUCGCCACCGGAGAGGCGAUGCUCUACCAGACCGGUUAUCCGCUGCACGGCUUCCCUGAUUCCUUCCAGGGCAAAGCCAAAGGCAGCAAGUCCAAGAAGGGCAAACUGGACAAGAGCUCUUCAGAUGACCUGCACCCAAAUUCUCUGCUGGGAGCGGUGAUGAGCCAGGAUGAGUCUGUGUACGUCUGCCAGCCGGACACGGAGCCAAAGAUGUCCUACCACAGUGGCCUUUUCAGCGAGCAGCAAGGUGACAGCAGUGGUUUUGGUGGCUUGUUAAAUGGCGACAGCUGGCAGAUCAUAUCUAACAGUGAGACGGGGAGAUGUAAUAGCAGAACAUCCAGUUAUGACCCACUGCUGUCCACUUUGGAUUCUCUGUCGCUGGACGAAGAUGAAACCUGCACCAAUAGCGAGCUCUUUAGCGCCCUGGAGAACUUGGGCUUGAACGCUGAAGACCUGGAGCUCCUGCUGCUGGAUGAGAGGAUGAUCCAGGUGGAGCUGGACCCCAACCACAUCCCAACACUGAGCGACAUUCUCACCAACAACGAAAUCCUCUCCUACAUCCACGACUCGCUGGAAACUGGCACAGAGGGGGAGGAACAAGGAGAGAGAGUUGGACUCGGAUCUUCAACUAAUCCACCAAACUCAACCCAAAGUGUCGCCCAGCAGUCGCAGGCAUGCCUCACACCCGCUGUCCCUCCAGCUCUUCCCAUCAUCCAGCUGUCGCAACAGAUGCAGCAGCACAUCAGUGCAGGUGAGCUGGUGAAAGCUCAAACAGGGCAGAUUCAGUCCCAGCCUGAAACAGCGGACACCAAGACAUUAACUGGGAUUCCUAACAGUCAUUGGGUGGUUACGACACAGAACCCCCAUCACCCCAACAACCACACCCAUCACCACCCACAUCCUGUGCUCAAAGCCACACAGCAGAACGGUGAACAUAAACACCUUAACUCACUUCUUGAAUCGAGUCAACAGUGGCAGCUUCAGCAGGACCAGCACACGGUCCAGCUUCAUUCCCAUGAGCAAAUAAACAUCCAGAGCGCUUUGCUGCCUGGCUUCCAGAGUCAGCCCGGAGUGACAACGAACGAAUCUUACAUUCCAAACGGACACGCAGCCUUUCCACCAAACGUGGACGUCAGCCACACAGGUUACAAUAUCACCAACACGCCUCAUGCAGGUGGCACAGUAGUGAAUGGCGUGACCACACCGGACGCUUGUCACUACCAGAGGUUGGUGGCCACCACGCAGCCCUACCAGCUGCAGGGUCACCAGAAGAACCAGCAGCAGCAGCAGAUGUUGCAGCAGACUCAGGUUCCACCAUCUUGUCCCAGCCACAGCUCUACACUGGAAUUAGAGCAGUUACUGGGUUUGUCCCAGCAACAGCACAGCCUGCCGUCGAUAGAGGCCUAUGGCAUGUUCAGCACCACCACGCAGGACUCCACUCGCAGCAAGCUGGAGAACGGAUGCCUCUUCAGUGCUACCAACACAGCGUACAUCAGGACGUGUCUGAUGCCCAAUGGGAAUGGAGUGGCAGCGGGCGACAUCCCUGUCUCCUGCACAGACGGACUUUCCGCCCUGCAAGACCCCCAGAAAUCUGGAUUUUUCCUCUGAAAGGAUGAUGGCCGAGUAUCAAAGGAGGCUGGGAGAGAAGAGAAGAGCCUGAUAUUCCUCACCUGUCCACUGUAGUUCCCCGCCUCAACCAUCACCUGUUCUCCCAGUUUCAGGAAGUGUACAGAGUAGCCAGCCAGACUUCUGGGUUUGAAAUCUGAGGUUAGUGUGAAGUGGUUUUAAAGACGAGCUGAUGCAGCACACUUCUUGGACUGUACUGACACCUAUUGAUCUGAAGACCUUAUGGAGGACUUGACUGCGGCAGGGACAAUCUGCUCCAGCCGACCCUCUCCUUGUUUUUGUGACCUCUGCGACCUCUCCGAGGCUCUUCCUGUCACCGAGCCAGAGCUGCCAUGUUGGAUCUGAGGAGGGGCGCGAACGAGCCGCCGCCCUGCACCGCUACUGUCGCAUUCAUUAACACCGCCGUCUGUCUCUCACACAGACACACACAGCUGGACGCACACUUUCACACAUCCUGUAUAAGUUUGUACACACUGACUUCACUGUUCUGCUCUGCAAAGCAGCUUGAUGUCAACCCUGAUUUUGUCAAAAAGUGGUUCUGUAAAUACAUUUGAAUUUACUUUAUUUGUCAGAGGUGUGAGUGACAGAGUGGGAUGAUUGACAGCUGAUGGGCGGGACCUGGAUUAGCAGGGCCGUAGCCAGGAUUUAAUGGGUGCAAACUCCUCCAGAAGAACUCAGUUGACCUACCACAAACCAAACUCUGUGUACAAAUUUAUGAGUAUUUAAAAAAAAAAUAUCACAUAAUAUUUAUAAUUUACUUUUUAAUUUACUGCCCGUUAUAACGCUAAACCUCCCACAAUCACAGACAAAGACCUUCGUUUCCACAAUUUGUUGUCACAAUCUGGUCUCCGCCGUCAGCCUCCUGGCCAGCCGCCAUACCUGCUUGGCCUGUUCUCCUGAACUGUCGGUGCCUGUUCUGCCCUCAGGCCCUCUGCCCUGUUUUCUGCCCCUGACCUCUCACUUUGUGCACCCCCCCGGUCUCUCCGCCUGAGAGUCUUGUUCUGUGGGUAGUUGUUUUUCUUUAGGGUUGAUUGGACAUCUAGGGACGUCCCUACGAGGGGGGCACUAUCACGAUCCUGGUCUGGUCCUGUCUGUACUUCUCCCGUCUCUCCUGUUUUACUUUUAUGGUCCUUCUGCUCUGUCUGUUCUGUGUUUUGGGUCCUGGUUUCUGUCUGUUUCUAGUCUUGUGUUGGGGUUGGGCUUCAUCUGCUGUUCAUGUCUAGUCUUGCGCCCAGAUUUGUGUCCUUUCUUUUCACCCUGUCUGGCCUGAUCUGUAUUACGUGUUUGUACACCCGCCCUGCUCGUUUGUGUAUGAAUAGUUGUCAUUUCAGUUCUGUCUUUGUCAUGUACUAGUAGUCGGUUACCUUUCUCUGCGCACCUGUUGCUACCCUGCCUGAUGGUCACGACUGUUGGUUUUCACACCAGCUCAUCCUUUGUUUGAAGUUUUUGGACACCUUAUUUGUGAGGGCUGCCUUUUGUUUGGACGCUCCCCCUUUUAAGUGAUACAUCUCUGUCUAGCUCAAUAAAUAUCUGAGAACCGAUCUGGCUGUGUCUGCCUGAGAUUCACAACCAAUC